rnacentral:rRNA from 1 species
GAUUAUACGCCCGGAACCUUACCAGCGGCGACAGCAGAAUGAAGGUCUACCUGAAUGGUAUACUCGACGCGCUGAGAAGUGUUGCAUGGCCGCCGUCAGUUCGUGCUGUGAAGUGUUCGGUUAAGUCCGAGAACGAGCAAGACCUGCGUCUCUAAUUGCUACCUGGUUUUUUAGAGCCAGGGCACAUUGGAGAGACUGCAUGGGUAACCAUGAGGAAGGUGCAGGCCACGGUAGGUCAGUAUGACCUGAAUCCGCUGGGCUACACGCGGCAGGCAAUGGUUGAUACAACGGGAUGCAACUCCGAGAGGAGAAGCUAAUCCCUUAAAGUUAAUCUUGUUUGAAUCGAGGGCUGCAACCCGCCCUCGUGAAAGCGAAAUCCCUAGUAAACGUGCGUUAGCAUCGUGCGUUGAAUACGUCCCUGUUCCUUGCACUCACUGCCUGUCAACUCAUCCAAGUGAGGUUUGGAUGAGGCUUUAUCAUCGGUAGAGUCGAAUCUGAGCUUCGUGAGGCGGAGUAAGUCAACACAAGGUAUCUGUAGGGGAACCUGCAGAUG